AGCCGGGUGGUCUAGUGGUCAGGACGUUUGUCGCAUAAGCUGAAGACGCGGGUUCGAUUCCCGCCUUGGCCA